UCUGCAGGCUGUGCAGGAAAUACGGUGCU
rnacentral:piRNA from 1 species